CCUACGGGUGGCAGCAGUGAGGAAUAUUGGUCAAUGGACGAGAGUCUGAACCAGCCAAGUAGCGUGAAGGAUGACUGCCCUAUGGGUUGUAAACUUCUUUUAUAUGGGAAUAAAAUGUUCCACGUGUGGGAUUUUGUAUGUACCAUAUGAAUAAGGAUCGGCUAACUCCGUGCCAGCAGCCGCGGUAAUACUGAGGAUCCGAGCGUUAUCCGGAUUUAUUGGGUUUAAAGGGAGCGUAGGUGGAUUGUUAAGUCAGUUGUGAAAGUUUGCGGCUCAACCGUAAAAUUGCAGUUGAAACUGGCAGUCUUGAGUACAGUAGAGGUGGGCGGAAUGCGUGGUGUAGCGGUGAAAUGCUUAGAUAUCACGAAGAACUCCGAUUGCGAAGGCAGUUCACUGGACUGCAACUGACACUGAGGCUCGAAAGUGUGGGUAUCAAACAGGAUUAGAUACCCCAGUAGUC
rnacentral:rRNA from 1 species